rnacentral:lncRNA from 1 species
UCUUGAGCGAUGUAUAAUUUUUUUAUUUUUAUUCAUCAAUACUGCAAUCCCCACUGGAGAUUUUAGCAGGGUGGCAAACAAUACAUAUGUAAAGAACACCAUAGCAUAG